AUUGAACGCUGGCGGCAGGCCUAACACAUGCGAGUCGAGCGGAUGAAGGGAGCUUGCUCCUGGAUUCAGCGGCGGACGGGUGAGUAAUGCCUAGGAAUCUGCCUGGUAGUGGGGGAUAACGUCCGGAAACGGGCGCUAAUACCGCAUACGUCCUGAGGGAGAAAGUGGGGGAUCUUCGGACCUCACGCUAUCAGAUGAGCCUAGGUCGGAUUAGCUAGUUGGUGGGGUAAAGGCCUACCAAGGCGACGAUCCGUAACUGGCCUGAGAGGAUGAUCAGUCACACUGGAACUGAGACACGGUCCAGACUCCAAGGGGGGGCAGCAGUGGGAAAUAUUGGACAAGGGGCGAAAGCCUGCGCCAGCCAUGCGGCGGGUGUGAAGAAGGUCUUCGGAUGGUAAAGCACUUUAAGUUGGGAGGAAGGGCAGUAAGUAAUACCUUGCUGUUUUGACGUUACCAACAGAAUAAGCACCGGCUAACUUCGUG
rnacentral:rRNA from 1 species